CAAUAGCGUAUAUUUAAGUUGUUGCAGUUAAAAAGCUCGUAGUCGGAUUUUGGCUGAGAACGAUCGGUCCGCCGUUAGGUGUGCACUGAUUGGUCUCAGCUUCCUGGUGAGGAGGUGUGCUUCACGGCCACUUAGUCACCGUGGUUACUUUGAAAAAAUUAGAGUGUUCAAAGCGGGCUUACGCUUGAAUAUAUUAGCAUGGAAUAACACCAUAGGACUCCUGUCCUAUUUCGUUGGUCGCGGGACGGGAGUAAUGAUUAAGAGGAACAGUUGGGGGCAUUCGUAUUUCAUUGUCAGAGGUGAAAUUCUUGGAUUUAUGAAAGACGAACUUCUGCGAAAGCAUUUGCCAAGGAUGUUUUCAUUGA
rnacentral:rRNA from 1 species